rnacentral:lncRNA from 1 species
GCCUGGUUGCUCACCUGCUCCCUUUAGACUAUGGUCCUGCAUUUUAAACUUUUAUUUUACCGGCAGAAAGGUUUAUUCAUGCCUUUCUGUGGACUGUUAAAGCCAUGCUACCCCAGAUAGCUAUGCCAUGGAGCCCAGCCGUAUACUGAAAGACUGUAUGAAAGACUUUGGCUCCAUGGCGAUUGAACUGUAUGUAUGUGAUCUGAGCGCCAUUCGGUAGUAAUGUGCGCUCAGAUCUAAGCUAUCUGGGG